CCUACGGGUGGCAGCAGUGAGGAAUAUUGGUCAAUGGACGAGAGUCUGAACCAGCCAAGUAGCGUGAAGGAUGAAUGCCCUAUGGGUGGUAAACUUCUUUUAUAAAGGAAUAAAACGAGGCACGUGUGCCUGUUUGCAUGUACUUUAUGAAGAAGGAUCGGCUAACUCCGUGCCAGCAGCCGCGGUAAUACGGAGGAUCCGAGCGUUAUCCGGAUUUAUUGGGUUUAAAGGGAGCGUAGAUGGGUUGUUAAGUCAGUUGUGAAAGUUUGCGGCUCAACCGUAAAAUUGCAAUUGAUACUGGCAGUCUUGAGUACAGUUGAGGUAGGCGGAAUUCGUGGUGUAGCGGUGAAAUGCUUAGAUAUCACGAAGAACCCCGAUUGCGAAGGCAGCUUACUAAACUGUGACUGACAUUGAUGCUCGAAAGUGUGGGUAUCAAACAGGAUUAGAUACCCCUGUAGUC
rnacentral:rRNA from 1 species